CCUGCUCCGCCCCGCCCCUCCCGCUGCCCGCUGCCCGCUCCCGGCUCGCACCUCCCGGGACCAACAACAGGAAGCCGGGCACGAAGAAGAUGGCGCUGGAGACACCUGCGGGAGGAGGGGAGUGGCCGGAUCUCUUCCGGGGACCGUGACUCCGCAGCCCCAUGGAAUGACUGUGGGAGUCAGAAAACAUCUGGCCAUGAGAGCUGCCUGCCUCGGUUUCCCCUCUGAACAAUGGGGGUAGGAGAGAGGUCCUCAUCAACUCUGACUCUGGAGGAGUGGAAGUGACAGGUGCCCGGCGCAUCGGGCUGGCAGGCCACGCAGCAUCCCUGGCUCUGAGCACCCGCCCCUACAGGUGGGUUCUGGGUCAGGGCCCGACCUUUCACUUGCUGUGUGACCUCUGCAAGGCAGGGAAGACAAGCCUGCCCCACACCCGGCUCGAAGUAGACACAGAAUAAACGGGAGCUGUUACUCUUCUAUUCCCUUAUAGAUUAAACAGGCUAAGAAAAAAAAAAAAA